AAAGAUGAAAGAAUGGCACUUCUGUGUAGGCAGCAGUGAGGCGGAACCUUUGUUUGUUCUGGUUGCACCUGGGACCGGUGUGAGGAGACACACCCCGUGCUCUCUUCAGAAGCAAUCUGGAGAGAAACGCGGUGCAGUGAGACUUCAUUGUUCCUGCUUUAUUCACCUGAUACAGGGCCCCUCCCUGAACCACCAUUAUUGUCUCUUGGUAAAGGACUGAAAAGGCUCAGACUGCAACCACUGAUAUCCUCAAUGCUGCAUGGCUUGUCUGAGCUCUCCAUGGUUGACUUCAGCAAAACCGAAAGACGUCUCAACUAGAUCGUCGGCAAUAAGUUCCUCAUCAGAGGAC